CCCGGCGAAAGCCGGAUUAAUACCGCAUACGAUCUACGGAUGAAAGCGGGGGACCUUCGGGCCUCGCGCUAUAGGGUUGGCCGAUGGCUGAUUAGCUAGUUGGUGGGGUAAAGGCCUACCAAGGCCACGAUCAAUACCUGGUCUGAGAGGACGACCAGCCACACUGGGACUGAGACACGGCCCAGACUCCUACGGGGAGGCAGCAGUGGGGAAUUUUGGAUAAUGGGCGAAAGCCUGAUCCANCAAUGCCCCGUGUGUGAAGAAGGCCUUCGGGUUGUAAAGCACUUUUGUCCGGAAAGAAAUCCUUGGU
rnacentral:rRNA from 1 species